UGGGUGCCCUGCAUACAACAAGUCAUUUGUGGAAGCUGCAAAUGUGAUUGGCAUGGGCAGGAGGUGAGGCCCCUGCAAACAGAGGCAAAUGGGAUGUGCAUGAGCAAGUUGACACAGAGGAGUCAAGCUGAUAAUGGAUACAGCAUCUCAUUGUAGAGAAAAGAAAAGGUCACCAAAAUAGUCAUUCUACCUGGGACUUUCACUCCUGAAGCACGUGCUGCCUGACUGACAAACUUCACAUUCAGAUAUUUCUACAUUAAAAUAAUAAAAGAACAAGCUGAAUUCAGAAUUUUCUGUGCAAAACAGUACUUUGAGGAUUGAGAAUGACCUGGUUAUGCUGAAGACUUAACAAUACCAUGAAUGGAAAACCAAGACAUUUUACUUAAGAAUAAUGUCACUGGAGUUUCACAGAUGGAGGUGCAGACAUCAGGAAAAACCUACUUGAGCAAAAUGAUAAAACCAACCAUUUACAAACAAGUUGGAGGAGAAAACAGUGAUGCAACGGCCAUGAAUACUGUUUUACAGCUUCUUUUUUCAGGUGUUAGCAGUCACUGUAAGAUAUUUUUAUAUUUGUUUUUCAUCAAUACAUUCUGCAGAGUGAAUUUUUCUCCCUAGAUACUGGAUUCCUUUGAUAGUAAUUUCUAAUACUAAGAAUCCAUAGUAAAUACGCUUCACUGGGUAGAAGACAGUGACCGUCUGUGAGAAGACUAAUAGUAUCCAUGUGCUCAUGUGAAGGAUUUACUUUCAGUAUUCAUACAACAGGAAAUACUGAAGGAAGUAAAAAUUGAAUUACUGCCGGCAGUAAUUUCCAGAACUUCAGUUCAGGCAACCAGUUUCCAAGUAUCUCAGGAUGAACUAAGUAUAGAUUUUAAAAUAAAACAACGUUUAAGCAAUGCUGAGAGAUUAUUAAUUUUAUC